CUGGGUUUAGUUUAAUUUAAGAAUAGCAGUUUUGGGGAUUGCCGGUCCUCUAUGGGAAGCCAGA
rnacentral:tRNA from 1 species